rnacentral:misc_RNA from 1 species
GAUGAAGAACGUAGCGAAAUGCGAUAAGUAGUGUGAAUUGCAGAAUUCAGUGAAUCAUCGAAUCUUUGAACGCACAUUGCGCCCCUUGGUAUUCCAUGGGGCAUGCCUGUUCGAGCGUCAUUUGUACCUUCAAGCCUUGCUUGGUGUUGGGUGUUUGUCUCGCCUCUGCGCGCAGACUCGCCUCAAAACAAUUGGCAGCCGGCCUACUGGUUUCGGAGCGCAGCACAAGUCGCACUCUCUAUCAGCAAAGGUCUAGCAUCCAUUAAGCCUUUUUUUCAACUUUUGACCUCGGAUCAGGUAGGGAUACCCGCUGAACUUAAGCAUAUCAAUAAGCGGAGGA